UUUGGGCAGCUCAACUUACAGGGUUCGGAGGCUGCCACCACAGAACUCCCCGUGGUUGCGAGUUCGCACCGACUCGACCUAGUACUUGUGCAGGAACAGUACAAUGGUCGGACCGGGAUUCUGCAGUGUGGCGCAAACCCUAAGGCUGGCGUUCUCAUUCUCAAUCGCGCAAUGGCAGUCACGCUUCUACAUCACUUAAGCAACGAGCACUGCGCGGUGGUUCAUGUCGCACACGGAGAUACCAGUCUGCAUGUAGUGUCAGCAUACUUUCAGUACAGUCAUGACAUCGGUCGCCACAUAGCUCACCUGGAGACAGUUCUUCAACGGCUUUCGGGCAAACCUAUUCUCAUAGGAGUUGAUAGCAACGCUCACUCGCCUAUGUGGCACUGCGAUAGGAGACAGUACACUGGAAGAGGACCGGACACGGAGUACAGGAGGAACCAGAUGGAGGGAUUCAUCCUCGGCAAAGGACUACUUCUGCACAACGCUUCGGGACAGCCGCCGACAUUCAGCGGACCAAACGGUAUGUCGAAUGUCGAUUUGACUAUCACUACCCGUGGAGUUAACGUGUGCGACUGGACGGUACAUGAGGGCGCCAGCCUCAGCGAUCACCAGCUUAUUACCUUCAAAUCGGCCUUCGGUAGGUUAGACUCGACAGCCAGUGAGACGCCAUCGACACGUCUGUCACCGCCGUUCCGGACGCGUGGAGUCAAUUGGGCCAACUUUUGUUCAAAACUACACAUUCGUAUGGACAGGAUUCACCCAGGCCUUCCCGCCAACAGAUACAGCGAACGGUAUUCGGAUAUCUUGCUGCGCACUGCCCGAGAGACCUUGGGCUUUAGCGGCAAAAAGAACGAUGGUAGGUAUGAAUGGUGGUCCCCCGAGUUGGAAGCGUAUCGUCCGAAACUCAACCGGGCUCGGCGCGCGUGGCAGCAGUCACGCCGCGUAGGAGGUACAGCAGAGCAGCAUCUUCAUGACGAACUUCGUGCCCUUCGGGGAAGAUACAAGAGAGCCAUGAAGCAGGCAGAGCUGGACUUCUUUCGCCGGAUAGCAGAGUCAGGUAACGACGAUCCAUGGGGACUGGCCUAUCGAGAGGCUUGCGGGCGCUUGCGCCCCCCGCCGAACAUCACCAACGGCAUCAAGCUUAUUGAGGGUUACACCGAAUCCACCGGGGACACCAUGUCAGGCCUUCUUCAGACGCUGUAUCCAGACGACAAGCCGGACGGUGAUACCAUUUACCACCAGUCUGUUCGUGUGGCGGCCGCCUUCGCGCCAUCUGGUCGCGAUAUGGAGGCCCCUGGAAAGGAGACGGUCGAGCAAAUUGUGCGAUCCCUGCCUAACACGGCUCCAGGUACAGAUGGUAUCACGGCAGUCAUUGUCAAGUGGGCGUGGAAGGCCACGUCGGACGAAAUGUGGUUAAUGUUCAGUAAGUGCAUCACCGAAGGAGUCUUCCCGGAGAUCUGGAAAUCUGGUCGCCUCGUCGUCCUGCCAAAGGGUAACGGUAAACCUCUUAGUGACCCGAAAGCGUAUAGACCAAUCACGCUUCUUCCUAUUCUAGGUAAGAUAUUGGAACGCGUUAUAGUUUCUUGUGCCCCCUGCCUGUACCGUAACAUCUCGGACGCUCAAUUUGGAUUCACUCGCGGUCGGUCGACAGUGUCUGCGCUGUGCCGGAUUAAUGACAUCGCUUCCGCCAGUUCAGCUCCGUACGUACAAUUGAUCCUUUUGGACAUCUCAGGUGCUUUUGACAACGCGUGGUGGCCAAUGAUUCUCUUGAAGGUGAAGCAAGGUGGAGCCCCACCGAACCUUUACCGCAUCUUGGUCAGCUACUUCACGAACCGUAGAGUCAGUUUUCAUGUGGGCGAUCAGACAUGCUCAAAGAUUUGCACCAUGGGAUGUCCACAGGGGUCGGUGUUGGGCCCUACGCUAUGGAAUAUUCUCCUGAACGAUCUCCUGCUGUUGCCGCGACCCGGAGGAGUGCAUUUGAUCGCGUAUGCUGACGACGUGACGAUAUUGAUAGAGGCGUCUUCUCGCGCGGACAUCGAACGCAAGGCCGACGUCAUGCUGAAGGAAGUAUCCGGGUGGGGAUCACGGAACCGCUUGCGAUUCUCGCCCGCGAAGUCCUUGACCAUGACGUACAAAGGUAAGUUCAAGCGAGCGCCGGUCAUUCGACUGGAAGGUGCUUCAAUCAAAGGAGCCUCAGAGGCUACGUUGCUCGGUGUCACUCUGGACGAGGCUAGGUCCUACUUGCCGCAUGCGAGACUCAUAGGGGAAAAGGCCUCCAAUUGCUUCGGCAAAAUGUCGCGGAUUUCCGCCACCAGAUGGGGUGUCAAGUACCGAUCUCUUCGCGUCUUGUACGCGGGGACAUACGUGGCGACGGUCACGUACGCUGCUGCAGUAUGGUGCCGAUGCUCAUCUAACUUCGUGGUCAAACGGGCGCUGAUUAAGACGCAAAGACCGGCACUAAUUUUACUUACGAAGGCUUACAGGUCGUGUAGCUCUG